rnacentral:sRNA from 1 species
AAGUGCCUCUAAACUCUCUAGACAAAAGAACAAGAAUGUUGAAAUUUAUAGAUGGAUCUUCCUGAUGAAGAACCUGAUCGAUUAAGCAACAAACUGUUGCAGUAUGACCCCAGCCAAGAUCAAUGGAGUGUGCGGGCACCCAUGAAGUACUCUAAGUACCGAUUCAGUACAGCUGUAGUCAACAGUGAGAUUUAUGUUUUGGGUGGCAUUGGCUGUGUAGGUCGAGACAAGGGCCAGGUUCGAAAAUGCCUUGACGUGGUGGAGAUCUACAACCCAGAUGGGGACUUUUGGCGAGAGGGCCCUCCCAUGCCAAGUCCCCUCCUCUCACUCCGCACCAAUUCCACCAAUGCAGGGGCAGUGGAUGGGAAACUCUAUGUCUGCGGGGGAUUCCAUGGAGCAGAUCGCCAUGAGGUUAUCUCCAAAGAAAUAUUGGAACUGGACCCAUGGGAAAACCAGUGGAAUGUUGUAGCCAUCAACGUCCUCAUGCAUGACAGCUAUGAUGUCUGCCUGGUAGCCAGGAUGAAUCCCCGAGACCUCAUCCCCCCACCUUCAGAUUUGGUGGAAGAAGGCAAUGAGCACUGAGGUGACCUUGCUGGAGGACC